AGUGAACGCUGGCGGUAGGCCUAACACAUGCAAGUCGAACGGCAGCACAGUAAGAGCUUGCUCUUACGGGUGGCGAGUGGCGGACGGGUGAGGAAUACAUCGGAAUCUACUUUUUCGUGGGGGAUAACGUAGGGAAACUUACGCUAAUACCGCAUACGACCUACGGGUGAAAGCAGGGGAUCUUCGGACCUUGCGCGAUUGAAUGAGCCGAUGUCGGAUUAGCUAGUUGGCGGGGUAAAGGCCCACCAAGGCGACGAUCCGUAGCUGGUCUGAGUGGAUGAUCAGCCACACUAGAACUGAGACACGGUCCAGACUCCUACGGGAGGCAGCAGUGGGGAAUAUUGGACAAUGGGCGCAAGCCUGAUCCAGCCAUACCGCGUGGGUGAAGAAGGCCUUCGGGUUGUAAAGCCCUUUUGUUGGGAAAGAAAAGCAGCAGGUUAAUACCCCGCUGUUCUGACGGUACCCAAAGAAUAAGCACCGGCUAACUUCGUG
rnacentral:rRNA from 1 species